GCGCACGCUGGCGGCAGGCCUAACCCCUGCAAGUCGCACGAACCUUUCGGGGUUAGUGGCGGACGGGUGAGUAACACGUGGGAACGUGCCUUUAGGUUCGGAAUAACUCAGGGAAACUUGUGCUAAUACCGAAUGUGCCCUUCGGGGGAAAGAUUUAUCGCCUUUAGAGCGGCCCGCGUCUGAUUAGCUAGUUGGUUGAGGUAAUGGCUCACCAAGGCGACGAUCAGUAGCUGGUCUGAGAGGAUGAUCAGCCACAUUGGGACUGAGACACGGCCCAAACUCCUACGGGAGGCAGCAGUGGGGAAUCUUGCGCAAUGGGCGAAAGCCUGACGCAGCCAUGCCGCGUGAAUGAUGAAGGUCUUAGGAUUGUAAAAUUCUUUCACCGGGGACGAUAAUGACGGUACCCGGAGAAGAAGCCCCGGCUAACUUCGUG
rnacentral:rRNA from 1 species